AAAAACCAACCCAACAGCAGAUGGUAUUAUUUUAAUAUUUCAGAGCUAACACUGGCUUGGAGAGUGAGGGAUUCUGGAAGAAGGCAGAGUUUUCUUGUUGGUUGGUAUCCAGACAGAUUUGCUGCAGGAAGAGAAAUUAAGACAACACAAGCCAAAAUGUAGUCUCACUGCAGUGAGACUCAGCUAAUUUAAGGAGAUUGUCUGUGUAUAACACAUUUGCCCAAGGAACAGCUGGUUCAGUUGUUUUUCUGACUGAAAAUCUCCAUUCCAAAGCCAAGCUGAGCCUGGAUUGCUGAAUAAAUUGGGGAUAGUAGA